AUUGAACGCUGGCGGCCGGCCUAACACCUGCCAGUCGAACGCGUGGCGGACGGGUGAGUCAUGUCUGGGAAACUGCCUGAUGGUGGGGGAUAACUACUGGAAACGGUAGCUAAUACCGCCUACCAUCAGCUGUGCCCAGGUGGGAUUAGCUAGUUGGUGGGGUAACGGCUCACCAAGGCGACGAUCCCUAGCUGGUCGGAGAGGAUGACCAGCCAAACGGGAACUGAGACACGGUCCAGAAUCCUACGGGAGGCAGCAGUGGGGAAUAUUGCACAAUGGGCGAAAGCCUGAUGCAGCCAUGCCGCGUGUAUGAAGAAGGCCUUCGGGUUGUAAAGUACGUUCAGCGGGGAGGCGUUACCCGCAGAAGAAGCACCGGCUAACUCCGUGCCAGCAGCCGCGGUAAUUC
rnacentral:rRNA from 1 species